UUUGUGUGUUGUUGGAACUUGGAAUGAAGUAGCAGGAGGUUUUGUUCUUUUGAAGGGAAGAAGAAAUGGUAUAUGGUAGAGAAUGAGGGACUUGGAUAUGAGAGAAAGAAAGAGUAUAACGUUGAAGAUGGAGUGGGGUGAAGGAAGAUUUUAUGAAGUUACAGCGGAGAGAGUUAUGUAAUGUGAGUGUGUAUGUGCCUCCACAAUGAAAACUCUUUUAUUUUUUUCUUUCAAAGCUCUGAGCUUCUUCUUUUUCUUGUUGCAGCAGAGAGAGGGACGUGAGGGAUAUCUUUUGUGUUUUUGUCCGUUAGAGUCUUUAUUAUUUUUCUUUUUGUCCUUUUUGGCUCAGAGAGAGACGUUGGAGUGUGAGAGAGUUUUCGUUUCUCUCCUUUCUGACCGUUGGCGAGUCCAAAAGAAGAAGAGAUAUUUUCAAUUUUCUUUAUUAAUUAUGCAAUUAAUUUAAAUGCUAUUUUUUGAUUGGAUGAUAGAAAUGGACACAGAUUGCUAAUGAGGAGCAUUGAUCAAUUUGAAUUGAUGGCCUGGAUCAAAUCAAAGAAACACACCAAGAAGCACAUACUAUUUUAAAUAGAUUAAAAUGCAUAUAAUGUCUUUUUUUAAUGAUUUAAUUGAUUUAGAACAAUUUAAACCAAUUGAAUCAAAUAAAAUUCUCAACUUCUAAAAUGAGUAUGAAUAAAACAAAAUAAGGACAUGGAAAAUUCUAUUUAUUUAAUCUGAAUAUUUUGACGAAAGAAUAAAAUUAAAAUGACUAAAAAUGAAUAAAAGUCGGGCGAAAAUUUGCUCGAAAAAUUAAAUCGGAUGCAUGAAAAUGAUCAGUGAGGAAUAUACUUAUUGAAAAAAUGCAGUGUUUCUUUAAAUUUUGAAAUAAAUUUUCAUCGGUUAAAAGGCUCAGGCGGGUCAAAAUGAAACUGAAACAGUCGCUGAAGUGGUGGCUCAUGAUUUUUCAGUGACGAAACUAUAUCUUGAAGUGGUGGCUUGGCGACCUCGUGGCGAUUUGCCCACUGUAGCAGACGAUGCAUUUGGAAUUUGCGUGAGGGUUUGCGGAUGAAUAAUGGUAUGUCGUUGUGUUGUUUUAUAUAGGUGGAGGUUGGUUAGAUUGUGAGUGUUAGAUCGAUGAGAAGAUGAUGUAAGGUGGUGAGUAUGCACUUUGCAGAUGGAGGGAGAAGUUUGUGGUUUGUGUGUUGUUGGAACUUGGAAUGAAGUAGCAGGAGGUUUUGUUCUUUUGAAGGGAAGAAGAAAUGGUAUAUGGUAGAGAAUGAGGGACUUGGAUAUGAGAGAAAGAAAGAGUAUAACGUUGAAGAUGGAGUGGGGUGAAGGAAGAUUUUAUGAAGUUACAGCGGAGAGAGUUAUGUAAUGUGAGUGUGUAUGUGCCUCCACAAUGAAAACUCUUUUAUUUUUUUCUUUCAAAGCUCUGAGCUUCUUCUUUUUCUUGUUGCAGCAGAGAGAGGGACGUGAGGGAUAUCUUUUGUGUUUUUGUCCGUUAGAGUCUUUAUUAUUUUUCUUUUUGUCCUUUUUGGCUCAGAGAGAGACGUUGGAGUGUGAGAGAGUUUUCGUUUCUCUCCUUUCUGACCGUUGGCGAGUCCAAAAGAAGAAGAGAUAUUUUCAAUUUUCUUUAUUAAUUAUGCAAUUAAUUUAAAUGCUAUUUUUUGAUUGGAUGAUAGAAAUGGACACAGAUUGCUAAUGAGGAGCAUUGAUCAAUUUGAAUUGAUGGCCUGGAUCAAAUCAAAGAAACACACCAAGAAGCACAUACUAUUUUAAAUAGAUUAAAAUGCAUAUAAUGUCUUUUUUUAAUGAUUUAAUUGAUUUAGAACAAUUUAAACCAAUUGAAUCAAAUAAAAUUCUCAACUUCUAAAAUGAGUAUGAAUAAAACAAAAUAAGGACAUGGAAAAUUCUAUUUAUUUAAUCUGAAUAUUUUGACGAAAGAAUAAAAUUAAAAUGACUAAAAAUGAAUAAAAGUCGGGCGAAAAUUUGCUCGAAAAAUUAAAUCGGAUGCAUGAAAAUGAUCAGUGAGGAAUAUACUUAUUGAAAAAAUGCAGCGUUUCUUUAAAUUUUGAAAUAAAUUUUCAUCGGUUAAAAGGCUCAGGCGGGUCAAAAUGCAUUUGAAAGAGUCGUUGAAGUGGUGGCUCAUGAUUUUUCGGUGACGAAACUGUAUCUUGAAGUGGAGGCUUGGCGACCUCGUGGCGAUUUGCCCACUGUAGCAGACGAUGCAUUUGGAAUUUGCGUGAGGAUUGCGUCAGGGUUUGCGGAUGAAUAAUGGUAUGUCGUUGUGUUGUUUUAUGUAGGUGGAGGUUGGUUAGAUUGUGAGUGUUAGAUCGAUGAGAAGAUGAUGUAAGGUGGUGAGUAUGCACUUUGCAGAUGGAGGGAGAAGUUUGUAGUUUGUGUGUUUUUGGAACAUGGAAUGAAGUAGCAGGAGGUUUUGUUCUUUUGAAGGGAAGAAGAAAUGGUAUAUGGUAGAGAGUGAGGGACUUGGAUAUGAGAGAAAGAAAAAGUAUAACGUUGAAGAUGGAGUGGGGUGAAGGAAGAUUUUAUGAAGUUACAACGGAGAGAGUUAUGUAAUGUGAGUGUGUAUGUGCCUCCACAAUUAAAACUCUUUUAUUUUUUUUCUUUCAAAGCUCUGAGCUUCUUCUUUUUCUUGUUGCAUCAGAGACAGGGACGUGAGGGAUAUCUUUUGUGUUUUUGUCCGUUAGUGUCUUUAUUAUUUUUCUUUUUGUCCUUU
rnacentral:lncRNA from 1 species